AAUGCACUAAUUAAGGGAUUCCAGCAUUUUGUUAUGUGUUUUUGGUCUUAUCUGGGCAAAUCUUAAUUUGUGGUCUUAUCUACCCAAAUCUUAAUUACUACAAGUGCUAUUUUCAUUACAAUUUGCAGGAACUUUGUAAAGAUUUCCAUGUUUUCAAGAAUUAUUAGAUUCUCUGUAAUAUCAAAAUGUCAAGACUUUCAGAUGGACUUUUUGUAAGCAGCAGUUUUGAUGAGUUGCAUGUUUGGUCUUCAUUUUCUUGACAUUAGUGUUCUAUUUGCAACAUGCUAAGGCCUUGAUUCCCAGCACUACCUAGUUUGAGUACUUGAGAAUUUAAAACUCAUAAACUGUUUUUUGCUGCCAUAACAUUCACAGAAAUUCUUGCCCCCAAAGCUUAUUAGUUACAUUAUGAAUAAGGCUGAAUUUGUGGUUUUCCCCAAUUUUUGUCCAACAAGGCAGUGUUUCACUGUUUCAAAUUCAAAAAUUCCAGAUCCUUCUGAUUGACCUUACGAAAUUUCACAUUUUUUUUGUCCUCCUAUGUCAUUUAGUUUUGUAAUGUUUUAGUAGGUGAUCGAAUCAAUAUAUUAAAAAUGAAAGUUCCUUCCAUAAAGUAAUCUUUCUGCAGUUGCAUCUGGAAGUAUCAACAAAGUAUUGACAGACUGUCAUGCAUUUUUCCUGUGGUUUGUUGGAGGGGCAAUCCUGUGUGAAGGUGCAAUGGAGUUUGCACCUUUCUGAACUUGAGCAAACCUUGGUGAAUAGGUUUAAAUGUUGAAAACAUCUGGUCAUAUUAAAUAUUUUGACUCCUCUAAGACUCUUUUUAAUGGAGAUGGGCAGAUUACUUGUGACAACAAAUCCAACCCCGUAUAAGAACUGUUGUCUAUCGUUACCGAGAAAUAAGUUCCAUAUUUCAAUAGUAAAAUAUCUGGGUGUCCUCUUUCAUUUGGAGCAUUGAAGAGCCUUACAAAGUUGGGACGGCAACUAGGCAAGACUGCCUUUGCAGAAAACCCACUUAUAAUUCUUGCUAAGAAUUAUCUACAUUUGCAAAGAAGCAGUUUCUUUGGUUUGCGUUUUCAAUGAUUAAUAGAUUGUAAGUUGAUUUAAUGCGUCUCUGAUAUGAAAUCUUUGAGUGCCUAAUCUCUUUGUUAUCCUGAAUAUCUCUUACUUCACUGGCAUUGAACUCCUUGUUCAACUCAUUCUCAUUUAGAUUUUUUUAUAUAAAUUUACAUGAAACUUUGUUACAAAAUAUUGAUUUUAUAUAAAUUUUCAUCUUUAUUUUGUCGGCCAUUUGCUAAAAUUAUUUGUUUUGUCCAUAUAUCCUUCCCUUUUUCCGCAUUCGGAGAAUUAUAUUUGGUAUUCCCAUCUUUUUGUAUUUGAUUCUGCUUUUCUGGAUUUAACAUUAGCUUAAACUCUGAAAUACAUCACUGUUUCAUCUAUUCAUCCAUAAAUCAGUAUCAGUUGAUCUGAAAAAGUGGGAGUUCCAGUCCUUCAUAUUUUACAUACAUUUUUUUGCUUUACUGUUACACCUUACUGUGGGUUCAAGGGUGUAACAACUAAAAUUGUGUUUCAGAAUAAUUUGAUAAAAAAAGAUUUAAUGAACAUACCUAUGUAAAAUUGUCAAGAUGGUUUAGAUAGAAUCUUAUUGUGAAUGUCCAAUAUACUUAUUGGAUUGUUUUUGUAACAUAAAUAUAGAGAACAGAAGCUCUAGAAAAAUCACUGAAAGAAAAUACCAUAUGGAAGAAGCUAAUAAAAAGAGGAGUUCAUACACUGAAGAAGCCUCAAUACCAGUUAUGUUACAUUGAUCCUGGAGUGGCAAGUGGGGAUGAGAUGGAGAAGCUCAAGACAAUGGAUAGUGCCUUUAUUGAAUUCUAGAAGAAAAAUUUGAAGCUCUGCGCUUCCUUUUCCUUCGUUUCAUAAUGUAUUUUAACCUCAUUCCUUUUCUUUUGAUGCUGAAAAUGAGUGCAUACCCAUUUGCUAAACCAUUAAAGAGAAAUGGUACUGUAGCCUGUAAUGUGCAUCUUAUUGUUUGUAUUUCUUAAAGCUAACUCAAGUUCUGAAGCUGGUAUAACCUAGAAUAUAUGCCUUCAGCCUCUGCUAUUAGGGUUGAGUGAGAACCCAUCUCGACAAUCUGACCUUUAUCCAUGACAACUAUCAUAUCCGAGUUUUUUACUGUGGAAAGCCUGUGAGCAACCGUAAUCUGUGUUGUUUUGUACAAGGAGCUCUCGUAGCUGUUCAUAUUUAUUGAUUCUAGGGCGCUUACUACAGAUCUUUCAGACUCAGCAUCUAGGGCACUUGUUGCUUCAUCCAGGAGCAAGAUUGCUGGCUUCUUCAAUAGAGUCCUAGCGAUCGCUAUGCGUUGCUUCUGUCCACCUGAAAGUUGGCAGCCCUUCUCUCCAACAAUUGUAUUAUAUCCAUCAGGCAAAUUACUUAUAAACUCGUGAAUGUUUGCUUCCCUCGAUACCUUAACAAUUUCUGCUUCAGAAGCCCCCUCACUCCCAUAGGCAAUGUUGUCUCCAAUUGAAGAACUAAAAAGAAGUGGCUCUUGUUGCACCAACCCAAUUUGUCCCCUCAACAUUUUCAGAUUAUAUUCUUUGAUGUUCUUUCCAUCAACUAGCACCCUUCCUGCUCUGGGAUCGUAGAAUCUAAGCAAAAGUGCCAAGACUGAGGAUUUUCCAGCUCCGCUUGGUCCGACAAAGGCUACCUUUAAUCCAGCUUCAAUUUGUAAACUGAAGUUGUUGAGAACAGUUACAUCUGGCCUUAGUGGGUAGUUAAAUUUAACAUUCUGAAAUUCUACUCUACCCAUUAUCCUGUCAAGGUGUGAACAUUUGGGUGAAUCUGGUUCAAUUUCAGUUUCUCUGUCGAGGGUUUCAAAUGCUGGAGUUAAUACGCUGAUGGCAGAAAUGACAGUGGGGAUCAAUGUCCAUAACUCUGUGAUUGAAGGUACUGUGAGAGAGAAAAUCUGGUACGAUCUUAUGCCAUCUUCGAAGCUUGCUUGAUGUGCUGCGACUAAAUGUGUAGUGUACCACAGAGCAACAGCAUGUGCAAUAUUCCAUAAACAAAGGGAGACACCUUGAAUGAGUCCAUACUUAAUGCUCGUUCUCCUGCUCUUCUUCAUUGGUUUUUCCAGGGAUGUUUUGGCUUUCCUAAGAAUGUGCUCUUCAUGGCAAAAAGAUGUUAUGGUUCUUAUAUUGGCUGCAGACUCAGAAGCAAGUGUAACAAUUUGGUAAUGUGCUGCAGCAGAAUCACCUGAAAAUCCUUUGGCAGACUUGGCUUGAAUCAGUCCACCUAUGAAAUGGCAAGGCAUGACUGCCCAAGCUACCAAACCCAUUCUCCAGUUAACAACCAUGCUAACAAUAGUUGCAAUUAGUAUGGAGGAAACGCAUUGGACAAUGACAGACAUGCGGUCUGCAAUUAUCAUUUUGACCAUGGAGGUGUCAUGAAUGAUCCGUGAGGUAAGUGAACCAACACUGUUCUCAGGUUUCUCAAACCAUGCUAGUUCAUUGCGCAGUAUCCCUGCAAAAAUAGGUGUUAGUGUGCACCCUCCUAGGUUGAUCAUUCACUUGAAUGAAAGUUCAUGCAUUUCAUGGUUUAAAGGACACAAGAAUUCGUAUCCCAAAAAGAAAACAUUAGGCCAUGAUCCGUAAAUUGAUGGGAAUAAUAGGAGCAAUUGAUACCUGAAUAUAAUGCUUGUCUGAGGUUUGUCAUGGCCUUCUCUCCAACCACUCCAAAGAAGUAAUGCUGCAAGGUGUGAGUGAACAAUGACAGCAGUCCUAUUAGAGCAAAGAUGAUGGAAUACCAUCCAACUUUCCUUUUUGCAUCUUUAUGGUAGUAUGCUACUCCUACAGUUAUAAUGAAGAAUCCAAAAACAGGCUUUGAGAUGCCAGAGAAAGCAGCUGCAAAGGAUCCUAUAGCAGUUUUUAAAAUUUCUUUCUUUUGCAAGCCAAACCAUAUUCUGAAAAAUAUAGCUGACUUUGUUCUGUCUUUCUGUUCCUCUUGCUUUGGAGACUGGCUCAGAUGGAUGCUGAAAUCAUUAAGUUUAUCUUGGUGUUCAUUUUCUUUUAGUGCAACUUGUUGCUUGGUAUUCGCUUGUUCUUCAGUAGCUGCAUUUCUGUUAUUCAAUAAAGUUGGAUCAGUUAAAAGUUUUUCGUUUAUUGGAUAUUAUGCUGAAGAAAUCGGGUAUUUAAGUGUAUAUGAACCUUGAAUCACCAACUGUGCUGAGGUUCUGCAUGCUAAAUAAGUUGCUAUAAAAUUUGCUGGUAUCUAGCAAGCUGCUGUGUGUUCCCGUCUCUGUUACUUGUCCAUUCUCCACAACUACUAUCAUAUCUGCAUUAACAAUAGUUGACAGCCUGUGUGCAAUCAAGAUGACCGUCCUCCCUUGCAUAGCCCUAUCGAGGGCGUCCUGAACCAGCUUCUCUGAUUCUGAAUCUAGUGCACUUGUAGCCUCAUCAAGCAAAAGAAUUGGUG
rnacentral:misc_RNA from 1 species